UACGUAGGGUGCAAGCGUUGUCCGGAAUUAUUGGGCGUAAAGAGCUUGUAGGCGGUUUGUCGCGUCUGCUGUGAAAUUUCGGGGCUCAACCCCGAACUUGCAGUGGGUACGGGCAGACUAGAGUGUGGUAGGGGAGAUUGGAAUUCCUGGUGUAGCGGUGGAAUGCGCAGAUAUCAGGAGGAACACCGAUGGCGAAGGCAGAUCUCUGGGCCAUUACUGACGCUGAGGAGCGAAAGCGUGGGGAGCGAACAGG
rnacentral:rRNA from 1 species